CCCAGCGGUAGUCAGCUGUCUAGUGCCAUCUCAUGCCUAUGAUAGUGUUACACUGCUGGGAGAAAAAGGCACUGCUCUUCCAUACUGCAUGCUACAGUCACUGUUCUGGUGAUCUGUGGCACUAGUAUUAGGCAGUGCUGUGUUUCCUCGAGAGUGCGCUGAACUCUGCUACAUGCUGUUUAGUGCUAGUCUGGAAGCAUACAUA